rnacentral:rRNA from 1 species
GACGAACGCUGGCGGCGUGCUUAACACAUGCAAGUCGAACGGAAAGGCCCUGCUUGCAGGGUACUCGAGUGGCGAACGGGUGAGUAACACGUGGGUGAUCUGCCCUGCACUUCGGGAUAAGCCUGGGAAACUGGGUCUAAUACCGGAUAGUAGCCAUUUUUAGUGUGAUGGUUGGAAAGUUUUUUCGGUGUAGGAUGAGCUCGCGGCCUAUCAGCUUGUUGGUGGGGUAAUGGCCUACCAAGGCGGCGACGGGUAGCCGGCCUGAGAGGGUGGACGGCCACAUUGGGACUGAGAUACGGCCCAGACUCCUACGGGAGGCAGCAGUGGGGAAGAUUGCACAAGGGGCGCAAGCCGGAUGCAGAGACGCCGCGUGGGGGAUGACGGCCUUCGGGUUGUAAACUCCUUUCGCUAGGGACGAAGCUUUUUGUGACGGUACCUAGAGAAGAAGCACCGGCUAACUACGUG